GCCUUAGUGGUGUAAUGGUCAGUACGCUCGACGCGUAUUCGAGAGGUCCGUGGUUCGAGUCCCGGCGAGGGCA
rnacentral:tRNA from 1 species